AUUGAACGCUGGCGGCAUGCCUUACACAUGCAAGUCGAACGGCAGCACGGGAGCUUGCUCCUGGUGGCGAGUGGCGAACGGGUGAGUAAUACAUCGGAACGUACCCAGGAGUGGGGGAUAACGUAGCGAAAGUUACGCUAAUACCGCAUAUUCUGUGAGCAGGAAAGCGGGGGAUCGCAAGACUUCGCGAUCUUGGAGCGGCCGAUGUCGGAUUAACUAGUUGGUGAGGUAAAAGCUCACCAAGGCGACGAUCCGUAGCAGGUCUGAGAGGAUGAUCUGCCACACUGGGACUGAGACACGGCCCAGACUCCUACGGGAGGCAGCAGUGGGGAAUUUUGGACAAUGGGGGCAACCCUGAUCCAGCCAUGCCGCGUGAGUGAAGAAGGCCUUCGGGUUGUAAAGCUCUUUCGGCGGGGAAGAAAUGGCAACGGCUAAUAUCCGUUGUUGAUGACGGUACCCGCAUAAGAAGCACCGGCUAACUACGUGCCAGCCGCCGCAGUAA
rnacentral:rRNA from 1 species